GCCACUCUGGAAAACAGUAUGGAGGUUCCUCAAGAAGGUAAAAAUAGAACUAUCCUACGACCCAGCAAUUGCACUACUAGGUAUUUACCCAAGGGAUAUAGGUAUGCUAUUUCAGAGGGGCACAUGAACCCUAGUGUUUAUAGCAGCACUACCAACAAUAGCCAAAGUAUGGAAAGAUCCCAAAUGUCCAUUGAUGGAUAAAUGGAUAAAGAUG